GAUGAACGCUGGCGGCGUGCCUAAUACAUGCCAGUCGAGCGAACAGAUGAGGAGCUUGCUCCUCUGACGUUAGCGGCGGACGGGUGAGUAACACGUGGAUAACCUACCUAUAAGACUGGGAUAACUUCGGGAAACCGGAGCUAAUACCGGAUAAUAUAUUGAACCGCAUGGUUCAAUAGUGAAAGACGGUUUUGCUGUCACUUAUAGAUGGAUCCGCGCCGCAUUAGCUAGUUGGUAAGGUAACGGCUUACCAAGGCAACGAUGCGUAGCCGACCUGAGAGGGUGAUCGGCCACACUGGAACUGAGACACGGUCCAGACUCCUACGGGAGGCAGCAGUAGGGAAUCUUCCGCAAUGGGCGAAAGCCUGACGGAGCAACGCCGCGUGAGUGAUGAAGGUCUUCGGAUCGUAAAACUCUGUUAUUAGGGAAGAACAAAUGUGUAAGUAACUAUGCACGUCUUGAUGGUACCUAAUCAGAAAGCCACGGCUAACUACGUG
rnacentral:rRNA from 1 species